GGAAACUACAGAGGGCAAACUUUUUCCACAUAUAUGUUCCAAAUUUGUUUCUGGCUGCCCAGAUGUAGGGUUCCGCAGUAACGAAAUCUAUAAAUACCCUGCCUGCCAAAAUAUUAGUUCAGAGAAUGGUUGUUAUCUUGCUGAUCCAUCAUGUGCUAACACGGAAAUAUCUAACGAAGGAACACCAGAAACAAAUUUCACUGAGUUUACAACAGAUCAUGUGAUAGACAACACAAUAGCAAUGGAUAUUGACACAACCACAUACCCAGAAGACGACUCAGCACAUAUAGGGGCAAUA